UUUCCGUAGGGUGAACCUGCGGAGGGAUCAUUACACAAAUAUGAAGGCGGGCUGGAACCUCUCGGGGUUACAGCCUUGCUGAAUUAUUCACCCUUGUCUUUUGCGUACUUCUUGUUUCCUUGGUGGGUUCGCCCACCACUAGGACAAACAUAAACCUUUUGUAAUUGCAAUCAGCGUCAGUAACAAAUUAAUAAUUACAACUUUCAACAACGGAUCUCUUGGUUCUGGCAUCGAUGAAGAACGCAGCGAAAUGCGAUAAGUAGUGUGAAUUGCAGAAUUCAGUGAAUCAUCGAAUCUUUGAACGCACAUUGCGCCCUUUGGUAUUCCAAAGGGCAUGCCUGUUCGAGCGUCAUUUGUACCCUCAAGCUUUGCUUGGUGUUGGGCGUCUUGUCUCUAGCUUUGCUGGAGACUCGCCUUAAAGUAAUUGGCAGCCGGCCUACUGGUUUCGGAGCGCAGCACAAGUCGCACUCUCUAUCAGCAAAGGUCUAGCAUCCAUUAAGCCUUUUUUUCAACUUUUGACCUCGGAUCAGGUAGGGAUACCCGCUGAACUUAAGCAUAUCAAUAAGCGG
rnacentral:rRNA from 1 species